GGGGCUGCGAUGAUAAAAGUAAAAUUCCUCGUACUGAAAAUGCCCGAUUUGGGUAUGACAGACUCUUAUUUACACCCAUAGAAUCUGAGCUUCC